GACGAACGCUGGCGGCGUGCUUAACACAUGCAAGUCGAACGGAAAGGCCCUGCUUUUGUGGGGUGCUCGAGUGGCGAACGGGUGAGUAACACGUGAGUAACCUGCCCUUGACUUUGGGAUAACUUCAGGAAACUGGGGCUAAUACCGGAUAGGAGCUCCUGCUGCAUGGGGGGGGUUGGAAAGUUUCGGCGGUGGGGGAUGGACUCGCGGCUUAUCAGCUUGUUGGUGGGGUAGUGGCUUACCAAGGCUUUGACGGGUAGCCGGCCUGCGAGGGUGACCGGCCACCUUGGGACUGCGAUACGGCCCAGACUCCUACGGGCGGCAGCAGUGGGGAAUAUUGCACAAUGGGCGGAGGCCUGAUGCAGCAACGCCGCGUGCGGGAUGACGGCCUUCGGGUUGUAAACCGCUUUCGCCUGUGACGAAGCGUGAGUGACGGUAAUGGGUAAAGAAGCACCGGCUAACUACGUG
rnacentral:rRNA from 1 species